GGAUGAAGAGUUACAUUGGAGGAAAAAAAUAUUGGACUUUUCAUGAUGAAACAAAGUCCAAGAAGUUAAUAGAUUUUUACAAAAAAAAAAUAUAUUCUUCCUUCAUAAACCACACUGAAUAAGUUGGUAGCAAAUUGAGACAUUAAAGCUGGAAUCAAUCCUCAAAUUUUUGAAGCUGUCAAAGAAGAGGUUGGCAAUUGGGAUGCUAAUAAAAAAUACUGCUCUAUCAUCUUCGAUGAAGUUGCAUUAGAAGCAGAGGUCUUCAUUAUGAUAAAAAUAAAGAUAAAAUUACAGGUUUAGUCCAAUUGGAUGAAGAAACCGUAGAGGGCUUUGCUGAUCACGCUCUUGCAGAAAUGGCAACAGCCAGUGGCUUUUUACUUUUGUAAAGGUGCAACAUCGGCUGCAAAGUUGAAAGUGAUUAUAAAGAAAGUGGUCAGUGAAGUAAUAAGUUGUGGACUGUUCCCACUGGCAGUUAUUUGUGACCAAGGAACAGCUUUUUGCUCUGCAUUGAAAGCUCUACAAUGGGAUACUAGACGGGUGCAAAUAAAAACUCGUAACCGUGUAACUGAUGGCGUCAUCAUAAUAAGUGAACACGUUAUUUUAAGUACAUUUGUAUUAUAUUUGACCCACCGCACCUUUUAAAAGGUGUACGAAACAAUUUUCUCACCAAAAAUAUAAAUUAUAAUGGCAAAAUAUCCAAAUGGAACGAUGUCAUUGAAAUCUAUAAAAAAGAUUGCAAUCAUGCUCAGA